rnacentral:rRNA from 1 species
CGCGGCCUAUCAGCUUGUUGGCGGGGUAAUGGCCCACCAAGGCAUCGACGGGUAGCUGGUCUGAGAGGAUGAUCAGCCACACUGGGACUGAGACACGGCCCAGACUCCUACGGGAGGCAGCAGUGGGGAAUAUUGCGCAAUGGGCGAAAGCCUGACGCAGCAACGCCGCGUGCGGGAUGAAGGCCUUCGGGUUGUAAACCGCUUUCGACAGGGACGAAUUUGACGGUACCUGUAGAAGAAGCCCCGGCCAACUACGUGCCAGCAGCCGCGGUAACACGUAGGGGGCAAGCGUUGUCCGGAUUUAUUGGGCGUAAAGAGCUCGUAGGCGGUUCGGUAAGUCAGCUGUGAAAGCUCCAGGCUCAACCUGGAGAGGCCAGCUGAUACUGCUGUGACUAGAGUCCGGUAGGGGAGCGUGGAAUUCCUGGUGUAGCGGUGGAAUGCGCAGAUAUCAGGAGGAACACCAGUGGCGAAGGCGGCGCUCUGGGCCGGAACUGACGCUGAGGAGCGAAAGCGUGGGUAGCAAACAGGAUUAGAUACCCUGGUAGUCCACGCCGUAAACGUUGGGCACUAGGUGUGGGACCUUAUCAACAGGUUCCGUGCCGCAGCUAACGCAUUAAGUGCCCCGCCUGGGGAAGUACGG